rnacentral:tRNA from 1 species
GCACGCUUGGCCGAGCGGUUAAGGCGUUGGAUUUAUAAUCUAAUGGGGAAGCCCCACGUAGGUUCGAAUCCUGCAGCGUGCG